rnacentral:misc_RNA from 1 species
GAAAAAUAGAUUUCUGCUAUCUUCCCGUGUUGGGACCAAAGACUGUUUGUCUGUUUGAAGGACUUUAGUUAACUAUUUUAAGAUUUAUAACGGGUCCUCAGGCUAGCUGAACAUGUACCGGUCUGCGUGUGACGAGCCACGGGACAGAAACCGUUGGAAUGUUUACUGUCGCGUGCCGCUACGACUAUUUCUUUUAAGGAGAGUUAUAGAAUUACUCCAUACCUUUGUUGGGCAAAACGUUCAUCCCUUGACCGCGGCUACGUUCGGCGACUGGUUGUCGCCUCGAGCCUAAGCUCACUAUCAUAAAUCUCGAACAAAUACAAUCGGAUUGAAUGACGGCA